AUAAACUGAACGCAUGUGAAGUUUGUUUGUUGGCGCUGUGCGUUAGCACUUUAAGUAACGGAAUAAUCUGAGUGAAUACGAAGGUUGUUCGUUGACGUGGUGCGUUAGCACUUUAAGCAACGGAAUUUAUUCGUUGGCGCCGUGCUUUAGCACUUUGAAAACUGCAUAUAUAUUUAGUGAUAUGACAUCUAAUUUGUAAUAUAUAAAGCUGAUAACUUUUUAAAAUUAUCGAAGUUGAUAGCUUCUAAUCUAUCAAACCUUUUUAACUGGUCAAGUUAUUAAGGGUGCAGGGCGGAUGCCUUGGCACUAGGAGCCGAUGAAGGACGUGAUAAGCUGCGAUAAGCUUCGGGGAGUUGCACGUAAACUUUGAUCCGAAGAUUUCCGAAUGAGGAAACUCACUUAGAGUAAUGUCUAAGUAUCAUUAAGUGAAUACAUAGCUUAAUGAGGGGAACUCAGGGAACUGAAACAUCUAAGUACCUGAAGGAAGAGAAAGAAAUUCGAUUCCGUAAGUAGCGGCGAGCGAACGCGGAUUAGCCCAAACCAAUAAAGUUUUCUUUAUUGGGGUUGCGGACAUAUCAUAACGAAGAGGUAUCGUAAUUGAAGAGGUUUGGAAAGACCCACCACAGAAGGUAAUAGUCCUGUAUGUUAAACGAGAAGACUUNAAUAUCAAAGGUGAGCCAGUACAGGAUGGACCCGCGUCUGAUUAGCUAGUUGGUAAGGUAACGGCUUACCAAGGCGACGAUCAGUAGCCGACCUGAGAGGGUGAUCGGCCACAUUGGAACUGAGACACGGUCCAAACUCCUACGGGAGGCAGCAGUGGGGAAUAUUGCACAAUGGGCGAAAGCCUGAUGCAGCAACGCCGCGUGAGUGAUGAAGGCCUUCGGGUCGUAAAACUCUGUCCUCAAGGAAGAUAAUGACGGUACUUGAGGAGGAAGCCCCGGCUAACUACGUGCCAGCAGCCGCGGUAAUACGUAGGGGGCUAGCGUUAUCCGGAUUUACUGGGCGUAAAGGGUGCGUAGGCGGUCUUUCAAGUCAGGAGUGAAAGGCUACGGCUCAACCGUAGUAAGCUCUUGAAACUGGGAGACUUGAGUGCAGGAGAGGAGAGUGGAAUUCCUAGUGUAGCGGUGAAAUGCGUAGAUAUUAGGAGGAACACCAGUUGCGAAGGCGGCUCUCUGGACUGUAACUGACGCUGAGGCACGAAAGCGUGGGGAGCAAACAGGAUUAGAUACCCUGGUAGUCCACGCUGUAAACGAUGAGUACUAGGUGUCGGGGGUUACCCCCUUCGGUGCCGCAGCUAACGCAUUAAGUACUCCGCCUGGGAAGUACGCUCGCAAGAGUGAAACUCAAAGGAAUUGACGGGGACCCGCACAAGUAGCGGAGCAUGUGGUUUAAUUCGAAGCAACGCGAAGAACCUUACCUAAGCUUGACAUCCCAAUGACAUCUCCUUAAUCGGAGAGUUCCCUUCGGGGACAUUGGUGACAGGUGGUGCAUGGUUGUCGUCAGCUCGUGUCGUGAGAUGUUGGGUUAAGUCCCGCAACGAGCGCAACCCUUGUCUUUAGUUGCCAUCAUUAAGUUGGGCACUCUAGAGAGACUGCCAGGGAUAACCUGGAGGAAGGUGGGGAUGACGUCAAAUCAUCAUGCCCCUUAUGCUUAGGGCUACACACGUGCUACAAUGGGUAGUACAGAGGGUUGCCAAGCCGUAAGGUGGAGCUAAUCCCUUAAAGCUACUCUCAGUUCGGAUUGUAGGCUGAAACUCGCCUACAUGAAGCUGGAGUUACUAGUAAUCGCAGAUCAGAAUGCUGCGGUGAAUGCGUUCCCGGGUCUUGUACACACCGCCCGUCACACCACGGGAGUUGGAGACGCCCGAAGCCGAUUAUCUAACCUUUUGGAAGAAGUCGUCGAAGGUGGAAUCAAUAACUGGGGUGAAGUCGUAACAAGGUAGCCGUAUCGGAAGGUGCGGCUGGAUCACCU
rnacentral:rRNA from 1 species